CACCUUGGAAGAAGAAAUCCACAGGAGGAAAAAAAGAAAAAAUUCUCAAACUACAGGAAGUGGAGAGAACAGUACAGUGACCCUACACGCUUGUUACCAGCCUCACCUGUCACCCACAUGGAGUCCUUCCCAUUUGUGGGGUUUCCAGGAUUUGCUGAGCACCUACUAUGCAUCAGACGCUGUGUUCUAGGCAAGGGGGAUACACCUGAUGGAAGAAGGUCCUUCCCUAGACGUAGCUAACAUCCCAGUGUGGGAGAUGACACGAAACAGCAAACUCCCCACAACAGCCUCCUCAACGCUGCCUCCCACAGUGCUUGGACAAAAUAAUUACAGCAAGAUGCGGGCA
rnacentral:lncRNA from 1 species